UGAGGAAUAUUGGACAAUGGGCGCAAGCCUGAUCCAGCCAUGCCGCGUGCAGGAUGAAGCAUCUAUGGUGUGUAAACUGCUUUUAUACGAGAAGAAACACUCCUUCGUGAAGGAGCUUGACGGUAUCGUAAGAAUAAGGACCGGCUAACUCCGUGCCAGCAGCCGCGGUAAUACGGAGGGUCCAAGCGUUAUCCGGAAUCAUUGGGUUUAAAGGGUCCGUAGGCGGUUUGAUAAGUCAGUGGUGAAAUCUUUCGGCUCAACCGAGAAAUGGCCAUUGAUACUGUCAGACUUGAAUUAUUAGGAAGUAACUAGAAUAUGUAGUGUAGCGGUGAAAUGCUUAGAGAUUACAUGGAAUACCAAUUGCGAAGGCAGGUUACUACUAAUGGAUUGACGCUGAUGGACGAAAGCGUGGGUAGCGAACAG
rnacentral:rRNA from 1 species